UACGUAGGUGUCAAGCGUUAUCCGGAAUUACUGGGCGUAAAGGGCGCGCAGGCGGUCUGGGCAGUCUGACGUGAAAGCUUCCGGCUUAACUGGGAGAGGUCGUUGGAAACUUACAGACUUGAGACAGUGAGAGGGAGGCGGAAUUCCCGGUGUAGUGGUGGAAUGCGUAGAUAUCGGGAAGAACACCAGUGGCGAAAGCGGCCUUCUGGCACUGUUCUGACGCUGAGGUGCGAAAGCGUGGGGAGCGAACGGG
rnacentral:misc_RNA from 1 species